GUCUGUGUGGCGCAAUCGGUUAGCGCGUUCGGCUCUCAACCGAAUCUUAGGAGGUUCAAGGCCACCCAGGAACG
rnacentral:tRNA from 1 species